AAUGAAGUAGUUGGGUCCAACGCCCCUAAGACAACACGCCUUAAUGUGAUUAAACGCGUAACUAAAAUCAAUUACCAUCCCUAGACCGAGAUUCAACACAAGGCUCGUGUUGAAUCUAAACAAAGGUUCAUAGUCAUCCUAAGGCCCUAAGGCAACUAUAUAGUCCAUCAAAUAAAUGCAAAGGUUAUGUUAGUAGUAUCAUAUACUCUUACUUUAAAAACCGUUUUAUAAGCAUAGUGGGAGUAUUAUAUACAACUAAAAACAAUCAAAUGGACCAAUAGUUGUAAUAGGACCAAAAUUGUUUUAAUAAGAUUAAAAUGAAUAUUUAUAUGUGAUGAGACCUAAAACCCUCAACCAAACCAUUAUUAAGUUGAUAAGCGUGAGAGUGCUUUGAACACUCUUUCGUGGCCUUCCACCGUGGUGGGCUUCAAUCGUUUGUGACUCAUACACCGUUUUCGUCCAGUUCUGGGGUUGCAAAGUAUGUGCUUACAUUCAGGAGAAGCCUAUACACAUAUGAUGAAGUGAAGGUAGGCAACGAGUGUGGUCAAUAUGAUAUUCUUCUGAGGCCAUUCUUGAACCCCUACCUUAACUAGCAUGGUGGGAAUGACUUAACUAAGUGCAAUGUACCAAUAUGAUAUUCUUCUGAGGUAUCAUUCUCUAGAGGCCAAACAAGAUGGGUACUUGCAAGAGAUGCAAAUGAGUAAGCGUACUCUCUCAUUAUUAUUAACGCUAGCCAAUAUGAUUUUCUUCUGAGGUGGGUUUGGUAAUAGUGAGUCUCCCAUACCCUACUAAGAGUUUCCCCCAAAACUCUCGAAUUCCAAUGAGGGAUAUGGAAUUUGCCAAAAAUAGUGGGUGGUGCUAUUUGAUUUAAAGACCCGGAUCAAAUGGCUUAAAAUCAAUCAAUUUAUAUUCGUUAUGUAUUUGUUUACCAAUAUAUUUGCAAACGCUAUCCAACACUUGACAAAUAAAAGCCGAAAGCUUUAGUUUCCGGACUUGGUACUACAAAACCAUAUAUUGUCUUUAAUGGCUUGUAAAUGUACCUAAGUAGUCUCAUUCUCACAAUCUUCCUAUUGAUAAUGUAUCAUUGGAAGAAAAUGUUAGAUAAGUCUAUCAUAAAGAGGACAACACUUUUAAUGUCAUAAUUCUUCACUUACAAAUCGUUGUAUGAAGAAAUAAGAGUUGCUUUGAACAACCCUUAGUCAAUGCAAACACUUAGUGCUUGUUUCUUUGUUACAUGAACAAGGAACUUUAGAAGAAAGCACAAGGGCAUGGACACUUUAUGUGUCAUGAUUCUUCACUUACAAAUUGUUGUAUGAAGAAAUGAGAGUUGCCUUGAACAACUCUUGAAAGUUUGUAAUUAUGUUUAGAACAUAAUGGUUGGUUGACAAAAAUAGUCCAUUAACAUGGACUUAUGAUGAUUUUGAAUCAUUGAAUGUUGAAGUGUUAAAACCACUUAACAAGACAGAAACUAGGCUAGGACUUCACUUUAUUUCCCUAUCCUAAUGGUUCACUAAGUUUAUUGUAAACUAUAUAGUAACCAAUAUCCACACGCUCUCCAAAUUGUUUAAUGUGUAUAACACAAUUGAAAUAAGUUUCAAGAGAGAUAGUGGGAGUUUAGAGACCAUGACUAAUGUAGUCCAAGGAGAAGUCAAAUGAAGAAGAUAAAAAUUAACUCCAAGGGAACAAACUUUCUUUAUGAAAGGAUGGACAUUGGAAGGGGUAUUUGCAAGAAAUGUCUUGCAAGUGUCAAGAACACACCUUUCGAAGGUGUUGUAAAUUGUUCUUAAAUAGUUCAAAACAGUUGGUUCUUCUACUUGAAUGCUUGAUUCCGUAUUAGCAACUAUGUUUUACAAUCGUUGUAAAAGUUUGACUAAUAAGAAGUAGAAGAUAUAUGAGAGAAGGAAAAAGUGCUUCACAUUCGGAACGUGAAUAAAAUAUAAAUCUCUGCGAAGGCAGAUAGUACUUACUUCCUCAUAUGAACUACCAAAGAAAUUGGAAAAACCAAAAAUUGUCUUUACAUUCCAAUUUUAAGGAAUUUAAUUCCGUCACUAUAGUAGAGAUGGAUGAAUGUUUUGUUUGACAAAACAUUGUUCUUUAUUAAUCAAUGAUUUGAUUAUAGUAAUCUAAUUGAUUGUCUUUAUAGUAGAGAUGAUAUGGUAGUGUUAACUGUUUAGAAUAUAAUGAUGCUUAAAACCCAAAAGGUUGCAAGGUAGUGACUAAUCCCAACUAAAGUUGUGAUACCUCUAAAACAUAAAUUACGAGUUGGUGAAAGAUGGAUACUUUGGAUCGUUAGAUCUGGAUUCAAUACCUUCUUAUUAAAAUUGUAUAGAGGCGAAAUGUUCGAAUCUUUAUUCUUUUGGAAAUAAGAAAGAAUCACAAAGUUGUUGAGGUUAAUUCACUUAGAUGUUAGUGGCACUUGUCCACAACAUAAUACUACUCAUGUUAUAUGACAUUCACCGAAGAUCACUCUCGGUUGGACUAUAGUUUAUUUUGAAUAAACACAAGUCCGAAUACUUUGCAAAAGGUUUCAAAGAAUUCAAGAAAUGUAAGUUGAUGAGUAAGACGUCUAAAGUAUUUACCUCCUUAGAUUUGAUCCAAGGAAUAGUAACACUUUAGAUGAGUUUCCUUGAAAGAUAUCAAGGAAAAUAGCAUCAUAAGAUAAUGAAUUUCUCCAUUAGGAGAAGAACGAACUCGAAUAAGAUUUAGUUCGUUGGAUGUUAUCUAUUACCCAUAUAUAGGAUAUAUACUUCUAAAACAAUAUGAUUGUAAAUUAGAAGAUCCUUCCAAAAUUUUCAUAACUCCAUAAGAUGUAGUUGGAAAGAAAGACAAAUCUUAAGCAUGUUAAGAUUUGGGGUUGUGAGCUAAUAAGCAAUAUUUGUUUGAUAACAAUCUUGUGGGAUAUCCUUAAAUUAACUUUUGGAUAUCGCUUCUAUAAACCAACUAACAAAUGUUGUUUUGUUGGGUAGUUCAUUGUAAUCCUACAAUGUGAUUUGCCUAAGAGCAAAUGAACGAGAGAUAGAACUCAAAGAAUGGGUUCUUUGAGAGACAAGAAAGUAAUCAACAAAUAUAACAACCUAGUUCCUAUACCACAAGCUCCAACGUAGUCGAGAAGGAUUUAUAAACCGUCUCAGUUGAAUGGUUUGAACUUUAUGACUAUGUCAUAGAGUUGCACCUCUUAAUUCGAAAGAAAUAAGAAUGAAAAUCCUUAUGACUAAAUUGAGUGUAUAUAUAUGAUAUAUACUCAAGGAAAUGGUAAAGUACCAUUUGACCCGAAAUAAUGAAACCUUCAUAAGCUAAUUGGUAGCUUAAGGUGACUACAAUCAAAGAGAAUGGUUGACUUUGAAGAAACCAUCUUUGAGAUAGUCUUGGUUUCAAUUAAUUCGAAGAUAGCUAGCUACAACUAAAUGGUGAUUCAAUGUUUGGACAUAAUAUGGGUUUCCGAAACCAUUAUUAAGAUAGUCUUAAUAAUAUAUGUCUAAAACUAUGAAUCACAAGACAUGUAAGUUGUAGAGAUUCAUCCAUCAUGAAUCUUAGCAAGCUAGUGGGAGCUAUAAGCAUCUUGUGAGAAAAAUUAUCAAAUCGUUUGAUUUCUCAUAAAGAUGUAAAUGAAUCUUUUGUUUACUAGGUUUACAAAAGAUUAGUGGGAGUUAAUCAUGUUCCUAAAAUUUAAAUAUAUGAUAUAUUAAUUUUGGAAAAGAAAAGAAUACUUUUUCGUUAAAGUUAUGACUUUAAUACAUUAUAUGAAGAUAGAAUGUAUAAGGGAGUUAAUCAUAUUCCUAAAAUUUAAAUAUAUAUGAUAUAUUAAUUUUGGAAAUGAAAAGAAUACUUCUUCGUUAAAGUUAUGACUUUAAAACAUUAUAUGAAGAUAGAAUGUAUAUGGGAGACAUAGUCUAUAUACAUGGGAUGGAAAUCUAUAAUGAUAGAUUUUAGGAUAUAAUUGGAUUAUAUCAAUCCCUAAUAAUAGACAAAAGAUGCUAGGAAGUUUCUCAUAUGAUGAUAAACUUCAAAUCAAAUGGACAAUUCUAGUAAGACUAAGAAGUUGCUCUUAUCAAAGAGAACGUACUCUUUGACUCCCAUAGAAAUAAUGCGUAAAUAGAAUCCUUUAUGCAUAAGCAGAAAGGUGAUUUAUGUAUUUCAUAUUGAAUGAAAAACGUUGAUAUGAGUUGUACCUAGAACGGUACAAAACGAUAUCAAUGCAAGCCCAGGAUCAGAACCAUGGCAACUGUCAAGUGAAUCCUUAAGUAUUUAAGAAAUACUAAAGGAUAGAUUCCUCAAAGAAUGAGGAAGAAUUAGAGUAACUUAAUGGAAGCGUAAAUGUAUUAGAUUGUGAAUCUAAUCCAUCAUUGGUUGUUUCUUCAUUAUAAAUGAAGAGAUAAACAGAUAUCUCUUUAUUAUGACUAAAGAGAUAUUUGGAUGGAAACAUUAAAGUAAUGA
rnacentral:lncRNA from 1 species